rnacentral:ncRNA from 2 species
UAGCGUGAGGGUGCGACAGGUUCCCCGGCGACGGGGAUGAAAAGGGAACUCGGGUGAGAGACCCGGGCUGACCACGCAACUGUAAGCGGCGAGCCCGCGCGUCGAAUGCCACUGGCGGCCCGAGCGGCUUCCGGGAAGGCGGCGCGCACCGGCCCUGACCCGCGAGCCAGGAGACCUGCCUGUCGCGGUCGUGCGUC